rnacentral:rRNA from 1 species
UACGGAGGGUGCGAGCGUUGUCCGGAAUCACUGGGCGUAAAGGGCGCGUAGGCGGCCUGAUAAGUAGGGGGUGAAAUCCUGCGGCUUAACCGCAGGGCUGCCUUCUAAACUGUCAGGCUCGAGCACAGUAGAGGCAGGUGGAAUUCCCGGUGUAGUGGUGGAAUGCGUAGAGAUCGGGAAGAACAUCAGUGGCGAAGGCGGCCAUCUGGGACAACACUGACGCUGAAGCACGAAAGCGUGGGGAGCAAACAGG